CAGACUAUAGCUAAGAUAGCAAAGCAUCUCCCUUACACCGAGAAGUCACCUGUGCAAAUCGGGUUAUUCUGA
rnacentral:tRNA from 1 species